GUAUCGUUUAUUCUUUAUUUAUUUUUUUCAUUCAUUUUAAAAUUUUCAAUCAACCUUGCAAAAUAAAGUCACAAUAUACAACACCCUAGGCAAAUCCCACAUCGACAAAGAAUGGGGAGAUGCUGGGUUAUAGGGGUGAUUUACACUUUAUUUGGAAAGAUGUGAUUUGAGGUGUAUGGGUGCCCUAGAAACAAAACUAUGCAGGUCUUGUUAAGGCCCAAAGCAGACAAUAUCUUGUCAGGUUUGGGUUGGGUCAUGACAGAUGGUAUUAGAGCGACUCCUUGUGUCCUCUUGAACGAUGGUAAGGCAAAUAGCAAACCUCAGCGAGGAUGCUGAAUCCCUAAAUAGAAGAGUGUAUGUAACACCCUAGGCAGAUCUCACAUUGGCAAAGAAUUAGAGAGAUGAUGGGUUUAUAGGAUUGAUCUACAUCUUAUUUGGUAAGACGCAUUUUGGGAUGUAUGGGCACCCCAGAAACAAAAUUGUGCGGGCCUUGCUAAGGCCAAAGCAAACAAUAUCUUGUCAUGUCAAGAUUGGGCCAAGACAAAAAUAUUGCUUGACGACCAAAAUUAUUUCAUAAACUUGCCAUUACUUCUUGAUAGUCAAAUAACUUAUCACCAAUCUAUCUUAGGUGCUUGAUAGCCGAUAUUCCCAGGUAGGUCAUAAAUGCAUGACCCAAAAAAAAACAAACUAUCAUCCAUCUAGUCAUCUAUCAUUGUAGGUCUCUAGACCAAAAAUUAUCACACAGAACACAGACGACUGUCAUAGUAGGUCCUUUUGUUUGUUGUGUUAAGUUUGUAGGGAAAAUAUAUGAGAUACAACCUAAGGGGAUCAGAUUUUGAAACUACAAAUCACAAAUUGGGAUUUUACAAAAUAAUAAAUGUUAUAGCUGAAAUAAUAAUUAUUGCAAUGAAAUAAUAACAUAAAAUAAGACAAAAGGAUAUAACGCAAACUGAGUCCUCUGUCAUACCACAAUUUCCUUAAAACAUAUUCUCCUUAUAUUUUCCAGUGCUGUAAGAUUCAAAUGGCAUCUGUUAAGGUCAUUAUUUAUAGAGUUGGCAUUUUAUGGCAAGUCUAGUUAAAUUGAAAGUUUAUUUAUUGGAUAUCUUGUAAUAGGGAUUAAUUUAUUAAUUCCCCAAUUUAGUGAGAUCCCAAUUUAUUAAGAAUAUUUGUUUCCUAAUUUAAUUAGAUGUCUAAUUUAGCAAGUAAAUUAAUGAUGAGAUUCUAUAAUUGGCGCACGAGAUCUAUUUAGAGCAAGAAGUUAGUUCAAACAGAAAGUCAUUAAAAGCUCUAGAUAUUUCUUGGGAGACAAGCAAGGCAAGAAGAUCAUAAUUAUUCUUAUUCAGAUUCAUAGGAAUUAUAAGAGGAAAGAAACUCUUAUUUGGAAAGAAUUCAAGUGUUUUAAGACUUGCUAUUUUGGUGAAACUCUAGUGCUUAUAUAAAGAGAGGUAUUUCACAAUUGAAGUUUGAUCACACAACACAGAGCAUAAAACAGAGAAGCAAAAUUCAGCCUCCUCCCUAAAGAAUCCGGAUUUGGCGCAUCAUGUUGUGUUGAUUUGUUUUCUUAUCUUCUUUUCAUCUCUGUGUAGAGUUUAUGUGGAUCUUGGAUCACUAGACGUUGAAGAAUUGAAGAAUUGCUAUUGUUCACUUUGCGAAGUGCCUUGAGGAUCGUGGAUCAAAAUGGGUAGCAAUUAUUCAAGAGAAGCAGAUUCAAUCUAAGGUUGAGUAAACUGUAUGGUGAUAAACUAUAAGUGAGAGUCUUAAGUUUGGUAAAUCUAUAGGUUGUAACAUUUCAACUUAGUGAAUUACUUUUCAUCUGGGCGUGGCCUCGUGGAUGUAGGAUUGAUUAAUUCGAACCACGUAAAAAUCUUCGUGUCAUUUAUUUUUUGUAUUUUAUUGUGUUUUUGGGAAAUUAAUAUUUUUAUGCGGAUGAAUAGUAAUCAUGAACAGUAACUGUGAACAACAUUUCCGAAAAAUUAAUUAAGUUGUUAAUUUUUUAUUUUUAAUUACCUACAUCUAAUUGUAAUAGAUCUAAAUUCGUUUCAGCAUCUAUUACUCAGGAUACAACGGUAAUGAAUAACUGCAACGCACCACCAGGUUAUUCCAUAACAACUUAUAUUAUGUUUUAACUCUAUCAAAAUAGAUAUACAUCAAAAGAGGAAUUAAAGAUUAUCUAAUCCUAUUCUUCCAUCCUUAUCACUUUUUUGAAAAAAAAUAAGAGUGUCAAUCUAUAGAAUUCAGUGAAAGACAUUUUAUCAAUGAAUUUGAUUGUUAUAAAUUCCAUAAUCGAUGCAUUUAAUUUAACUUCUUAUUAAAUGCACUUGUAACCACUGCUAUUAAUAUCUAAUUAAAAGCGUAAAUGUUAUGUAUUAAAACUUUGAUUUAAUUCUUAAAUUAAAAUUCAAAGUAUAACAUAGCCUCAUUAACCACAUAUUCAAUAUUGGAUUUAAUUUCGUAUUAAAUCUAAAUUUAAUUAACCAUUAUAUUCUCAUAACAAAUUUUGAAUUUAAUUAGUAGUUAUAAAUAAUAAAUUUUGGAAUUGAUUGAAUAAUUAAUUUAAGCCGUUACAUUUUUUGUAGCUCCUGCUUUUUAUCCAAUGCAGUUAACAAUUGUACACUAAGUGACAAUUUUUCAUUCACCCGAAUAUUAUUUUGAGUAUAUAAAUAUAUUAUUUCAAAGUACUCAUCAAGGAGAUUGAAUCACCUUAAACUUCGACUUACAUUAUAUAGAUCCCACUUAAAAUUAUGAUUUCAAAUAGCAACUGCUAUUUUUCCAACAGAGAUUAAGAGUGAAAGCAAUACUAGUUGCAACCCAAAUCCAAGUCCAAUAAUACUGACAAAUGGUGAAUUGUCAAUUUAGUUCAUUUGUUUACUUGUUUACUUGUUUAUGAUAAAUGGAAGAUAUAGAGAGAGGGCCGUACUUUGAAACUUCAUUGGAAGAAGACGGGAGACGUCCUUGCGAUGGUAAAAAUGGAAUGAAAUUGGGGUCUCUGAAAGCUUGGAAUAUUUGUUAAAACAUUUUUGACGUGUGCUAAGAACCAGGGCUUUUUAAGGAAAUUGAGCAGGUGUCACUUGCUUCAUUCUUUCAAAAAUUUAGAAGAUAACUCUGUUACCAUUAGAAAGAUAACUCCGUUGCUGAUCACACUUCAAAACUCGUGAACUGAAGCAUGCAAUGUGCCGCAUCUCUACCAUCCCAAUAGCAAAUUUUGAAAUUAAUGUGACAUUAAAAUAAUUUAAAACCUUUUUUUCCAAUGAAAUCGUGAAUUCUUAUUUUUUUAAUCCCAGAAUUAAGCCUUCACACUAUUUAUUUCUUAUUCCACGAAAUAAGAAUUAAUUAAAAGUAGAUGUUAAAUAUGUUAAGACCUUUCAUUGCAUCUAGGGAUUAAGUCUUCAUACAAAAAGAAAAAGGUGUUUGUUAAUUCUUCAUUUAAUUCCAAUUUUAGGGUUCCCUAAUAUGAAGAACAUUAAAAGAUCCCCUUAUAUUAUUCUUUUUUAUUACAAAAUUUAUUUGAUAAACCAACAGAAUUCAUCUCAAUAUUUUACAAGCCAAAGAUUCUAGUAGGGAUGGAGCCCAGGUUUUGUUAAAUCGAAUCGAAGUAUUUCGGUUCAAUUCAAUUUGGCUCAUCAGAGAAGAAUUGAUUGUAAGAGAGAUUGUAACAUUUUUAAUCUUUGGUUUGAUAUUCGGGACAAAAACGGUUUGCCGUUUAUGGAGAAAACGGCUAACUGUUUAACUCCAGAGAGCAUGUUUUAUGGUCUAGAGAAAACGGCUCACCGUUUAUGGAGAAAACGACUAACCGUUUAACUCCAGAGAGCAUAUUUUAUGGUCUAGAGAAAACGGCUCACCGGUUAUUGAGAAAAUGGUUGACCGUUUAUGUACAGAGAGCAACGUAUUUGACAUUCUGGAAUAAAACGGCUCACCGUUUAUUGAGAAAACGGUUAACCGUUUAUUUCCAGAAAGGCGUCAACUAGAAACGGUUGACAAGCUUGAAAAUUUAAAGUGUUAAUCGUUGCAAAUUCAAACCAAAAGAGUUUUUUGAAGAAGUACCAUUUCGAAUGGUUGCAUUCUUUUGAAUUAACAUCUUCUUCAUAAAAGAAAUAUACAUAUUUUGGAAAUGAUCAUCAGAUUUUGCAGGUUUCAUAUAUGUUCUGGAAAUACAAUCUUAUUUGCUAGAGAUUGUAUUCAGGAUUUGAUAUAUCUUGGGGGUAAUUUGCCAUUAAUACUCUAUAGCAAACCAAGAUUGGAGAGGGCAAAUAAAACCUUAAAGGAAAGUGUGCAAACACGUCUCAAAUCCUAAGAAAUUAUUCUUUGUUCUUUGCCUCCAUAUUCUUAUUUUUAUUUAACAUUGACUGGUCUGAAACACUGAACUAAUUAAUUUUUCAUUCAAAUUGGUUCAAAAUCAAACCGAAUAAAAAAAAAACUCGAUCAGUUCCCAUAAACAUUAUUAUUUAUCUAUUU
rnacentral:lncRNA from 1 species